GCAUCCUGCUGACUCCUGAAAGAAACAAACCCAAAACCCCUUGAGCGCCCAGUCUUCUGGUCCCACAUAACUCUUGCAUCUGAACAACUACGAUACACAGAGAAGCAUGCAUACAACGUAGCAUCUGUAACUUCAGGGCUUAGAUCACCAACAAAAACAUUGAAAUGACCUGUUGUAUCUUCUCUUUGACUACUAGCAUAAGCCCAGUUGACUUUAAUUGGUUGUCCAAACAGAUGCCUUCCAUUAAGGGUCACAAUGGCAAGAGCAGCUGAUCUGCGAUCAAAGUA
rnacentral:misc_RNA from 1 species